CCACGCAAGGACAGGCCCAAGCCCUGGCUACAGGGAGGCCUUGGCCACAGAACUACCGUGUGGCUCUGAUCUGCACUAAGGAAAAUAGUAGGAAGACAGGACACUCGCUGCGCUCGCAGGACUAAGAGGGAACACCCCUUUUGCGGCAUGCACCAAAGUCCUCCAUUCCCCCCUGGGAAGUCAAAGCUAAGCUGCAGCCAUCUUUGUGGAGGCCUAAAGGGAAAGCACACCCGCUCAACCACUCCACAAACACAAACAAGGAAAGGAAGGGGAACACGCACACACAGGCACGACUUUCCAGAAGGGAAGGACAACGCAGCACAGCCAACACCUGGGAAUAAACCCACAACCACGGGCAACAGACAAGAGCCUGUGACCUGUCCCUAGGCUGCACGGAGGCCACAGACCUCAACGUGCCAAGGGGCUUCUCAGGUAAAGCCAGCGGCCAAAUGCCGUGACGCACACCCCGAGUACGGGGCCGUCGCGUUGACAAGCCACCAUCAGGCAACGAUGCCGAGGGGCCGGGGGAGGAAGAGGGGCAGGGAAACGGCACUACCCUGCUUACAGGGUGGCCUCGGGGUCCGGCGAGCUCCAUUUCCCACUCAGGUGCGGAGAGGUGGCUCUCGCCCUCCGUUACAGGGGGCCACGCUCCCCAGGCAGCCAAAGGAGCAGCAAGGCAAAAGGCCAACUACAGCAAAGACCCGAGCCCCGCUUACGGGGAGGUCGCCCAGCACAACGCCAGCCUGGUCACCAAAGGCGCCGGCAGCUCUCAACUCAAACGUGACUGUGCCCCUGCUAACGGGACAGGUGCUUUGCCCAGGGAGCCUCUCUCCUUCCCCCCCGCAUCUGCACGCUUCCGCUUCCUCUUCUUGCUUGCUCCUGCCUCCCAGCUCUCAACUCAAACGUGACUGUGCCCCUGCUAACGGGACAGGUGCUUUGCCCAGGGAGCCUCUCUCCUUCCCCCCCGCAUCUGCACGCUUCCGCUUCCUCUUCUUGCUUGCUCCUGCCUCCCAGCUCCCCACGCCGCUUCUUCUUCUUCCUUCUGCAGCAGCUCCU
ensembl:lncRNA